UUUUAAAAAUUUGGCAUCUCGGCAUGCUGAACUGCCAACUCCGUCAAAUACACCGUGCUCGACUUCACCACACCACAGACUGUAUGGGUUUUAGCUGCUGUAGUAGCGUGCCGAUCCCACGUCGCAUUAAAUUGAAGAAUGCUUGCGGUGAUUGACUGCGAGCAAAAUCCAUACAAAUAGUCAU